UCGGCAGGAAGCUCUCUCAGAGAUAUAAAUAGCGAAGCGCGCAAACUUUGAGUAUACGUCUGAAAACAUGGCCAAGGAACAAGCAAUGUAUUUCCUUCUCUUGCUAACUUCUGCAUUGGUCUUGGCUGUUCAAUGCGCUCCUGCAUCAGGAGACCCGCAACCAGACGCCGAAGAAAGGGAUAAGCGCUUUCUUGAUGGCAUUGUAAAAUUUAUUGGAAAUAUCUUUGGAUAAUGUGAAGCAGGAAUUGUGAAAUGAAGAACAAAUAUGAGAUGACCCAACGUUUUAAACAAGUAGUAAUAUUGCAUUUUUGUGGAGUCAACAAUUUAAUAAAUUGUUAUCAAUGAAUUCAUAA